UGAGGAAUUUUCCGCAAUGGACGCAAGUCUGACGGAGCAACGCCGCGUGCAGGACGAAGGUCUUCGGAUCGUAAACUGCUUUUCCCAGGGAAGAGAAUGGACGGUACCUGGGGAAUAAGCCCCGGCUAACUACGUGCCAGCAGCCGCGGUAAUACGUAGGGGGCGAGCGUUGUCCGGAUUUAUUGGGCGUAAAGGGCACGCAGGCGGUCCAUUAAGUUCAGGGUGACAGUCAUCAGCUUAACUGAUGAAGUGCCUUGAAAACUGGUGGACUUGAGAGCGAGAGAGGGACACGGAACUCCGGGUGGAGCAGUGAAAUGCGUAGAGACCCGGAAGAACACCAAAGGCGAAGGCAGUGUCCUGGCUCGUUUCUAACGCUCAGGUGCGAAAGCGAGGGGAGCGAACGGGAUUAGAUACCCCGGUAGUCC
rnacentral:rRNA from 1 species